AUUUACCCAUAUUUGGAUGAAAAACGAAACAUUUUCGAUCAGUCGAGAUCAUCAUGGAGACCAGUGUGCUCCUCGGUCGUGUCAUUUAGUUCUCUCUAGAUUUUAGGAAUUCUUUUAUUUGAAGAUGUAUAUCUCAUUUACCGAUUGUUUCCGGCCGGCUUUGACUACUCGGAAACUUCAGUCUGCAGUAAUCGAAGCCACCAUGAGAGGAAAUUCGCCCUACUGCAUUCAGUAUAGGAAAUUCAGAUGGAAGAUGGACCUCAUCCACGUUGGUUUACGGUCAACAAUUGUCAACUGGUUGUCGACCGUGGAAAUAUCAGCUUCAGCUGUCCAGAAUAAUACGCAACAUUAGCUAUAUUACCAGUAGGUCGCCAACAACAAGGACCACAUCAUUCUGUUUCAGCAAAUAUAAUCCGCUUCAGCUUCUUCGGUUCUGCGGUUUAACCGGAACAUCUCCCGGUAUUAUAUAUCAGGUUAACCGGAACAUCUCCC